rnacentral:rRNA from 1 species
AGGGCACCACCAGGAGUGGAGCCUGCGGCUUAAUUUGACUCAACACGGGAAAUCUCACCAGGCCCGGACACCGGAAGGAUUGACAGAUUGAGAGCUCUUUCUUGAUUCGGUGGGUGGUGGUGCAUGGCCGUUCUUAGUUGGUGGAGCGACUUGUCUGGUUAAUUCCGAUAACGAACGAAACUCUGGCCUACUAACUAGACGUUGGAUCAUUUAUGGUCCUUCUCUGCCUCUUAGGGGGACGGGCGGGGUUCAGCCGCACGAGAAUGAGUAAUAACUGGACUGGGAUGCCCUUAGAUGUUCUGGGAUGCGCACACGCUAUUUUGAAGGAAUCAGCGCGCGCCAUACCUCGUUCGGAAGAUCCGGCUAACCCUUGUUAAUUCUUUCGAGCUUGGGAUAGGGAAGUGUUAUUUUUUCCCUUAAAGCACGAAUCCCAGUAAAUGGGGAUCAUAACCUCCUGGGGUUCAUCCCUGACCUUUGGAAAGGCUUCGGUCGCUUCUCCUGAUUGUAUGAUUUCUAUCG